ACCUCUCUAAAUUCUACGCUUCACUCCCGUACGCCGUUGCGCUCUCUCUCUCUCUCUCACUCUCUCUCUCAGCUUGUAGUUGCACACUUGCACAUACCUCGCUUCUCUUGGAGUUUUGGAGAGGUUUUAGUAUUCGUCGGGGGAAGAAACUGAAGAGAGAGAGAGAGAGAGAGAGAGAGAGAGAGAGAGAGAGAGGGAAUGGAGGAAGCAUCGGAGCAGAACCAAAAGCAGAAGAAGAGCGUGCCUGUACUCCCAUGGAUGAGAAGUCCCAUUGAUGUUACUCUCAUCGAUGAGUGCCUUCUCAAUCUCCUUCCUUUUCUCGACCCCAGGUUGGAGGUGGCGUUGCAGAAAAUGGGUAUUACUUCACUCUUUCCAGUGCAAGUCGGAGUCUGGCAAGAGACGAUUGGACCUGGUUCUUUUGAACGAGACCUUUGUAUAAACUCACCGACUGGAAGUGGAAAGACACUAGCCUAUGCGUUGCCGAUAGUGCAGAUGCUGUCAACUCGUGCUGUUAGAUGUCUUCGUGCAUUAGUGGUAUUGCCAACACGUGAUUUAGCCUUGCAGGUUAAGGAAGUAUUUUCUGCCAUUGCACCUGCAGUGGGCUUAUCUGUUGGCUUGGCAGUAGGUCAAUCUUCAAUUGCUGAUGAAAUUUCAGAACUCAUUAAGAGACCUAAGCUUGAGGCGGGUAUCUGUUAUGACCCUGAAGCUCCUUUGCUUCAUUUGCAAAGUUCAGUUGACAUUUUGGUGGCAACACCUGGAAGGCUGAUGGACCAUAUAAAUUCUACAAAUGGUUUUACACUUGAGCAUCUUUCUUAUCUGGUUGUUGAUGAAACAGAUCGAUUACUCAGGGAAGCAUACCAAUCCUGGCUGCCCACUGUUCUUCAAUUAACGCGCUCCAGUGGUGGGGAUCUCAGAAGUCUCUUCCCUCAUAUCAGCACUUUCCUUCCUUCCACAUUUGGUUCCUUAAAAACCAUAAGGAGAUCGGGUGUUGAAAGGGGCUUUAAGGGUAAGGCUUACCCUAGGCUUGUGAAGAUGGUUCUAUCUGCGACACUAACCCAAGAUCCAAGCAAGCUUGCCCAGCUUGAUCUGCAUCACCCUUUGCUCUUGACAACUGGGCAAAGACGCUAUCGACUCCCUGAACGACUAGAAUCCUUCCAAUUGAUUUGUGAAUCAAAGCUUAAACCCUUGUAUUUAGUAGCCCUUCUACAAACUUUACAAGGGGAGAAAUGCAUUGUUUUCACAUCGUCGGUGGAGUCAACCCAUAGACUGUGCACCUUACUAAACUUCUUCGGCGAUUUACAAAUCAAGAUCAAGGAGUAUUCAGGUCUGCAGCGUCAGUCCGUAAGAAGCAAGGCAUUGAAGGCAUUCCGGGCGGGUGAUAUACAAGUACUUGUUUCAUCUGAUGCAAUGACUCGUGGGAUGGAUGUUGAAGGUGUGACAAAUGUCAUCAACUAUGAUAUACCUGCAUACAUAAAGACCUACAUCCAUCGGGCUGGUCGGACUGCAAGAGCGGGCCAGGCAGGACGCUGCUGUACACUUCUACGUAAGGACGAGGUUAAGCGAUUCAAGAAGAUGUUACAGAAAGCUGACAACAACUCUUGUCUUGUUUACUCUGUUCCUUCCGAUUCCAUUGAGUUACUUCGCUCAGCAUACACAUCCGCUCUGGAGAAACUGAAAGAGAGCGUUGAAUCAGAAUCAUACAAGAAGCGCAAGAUUAAGUUUAAGUCUUCAAGAAUGGUUAAACGAAAGGAGUUGAACAAUUCAAAGGUGUGAAAUCUGUUUUUCUUGAAGAAAGUUCUCCUAUCACAAAUUCAGUUUUGCAUAUGAGGCCUGGGAACAAAUUCACCGUCGUAGGGCAUUCUGAUGACUACUAGAGAUUCCAGCUUCAUGCAGUUGCAUAGCAUAAAUGGAGCUUCAGUUUGAUUGGAGAAUACUGACACUCCUACGGAGUUCAAAUGUAUGUGAAACAAUUGGAAAAUUGAGCAGACAUCAACUACUAAUAUUACGGUAUACCCUCGAUGGGUAACCAAAGAAAACGAUAAUCGAUCAUUCAGCAAUUGUCGAUGGUCCUACAAUCACAUGCAGAUUAGUUUCACAUAGUUCUUAACAAAACUUUUGACUACUGGACAAAUGUGGCUUAUGCAACAGUGUCAUUCAGUGUCCUCUCUCUCUCCCCCCUCUGUCUCUAUAUACUGAUAUGUUGUUUUUGUCAAUGGACCCAAAGAUGGAAAAAGCUUCUUGGUCA